rnacentral:rRNA from 1 species
CCUACGGGUGGCAGCAGUGAGGAAUAUUGGUCAAUGGGCUUACGCCUGAACCAGCCAAGUCGCGUGAGUGAAGACUGCCCUAUGGGUUUUAAACCUCUUUUGUCAGGGAGCAACGCCGGUUACGUGUAGCCGGACUGAGAGUACCUGAAGAAAAAGCAUCGGCCAAUACAGUGCCAGCAGCCGCGGUAAUACCGGGGAUGCGAGCGUUAUCCGGAUGUAUUGGGGUUAAGGGAUGCGUGGGGGGAAUGCCAAGUCAGCGGUAAAAUCCCGGGGCUCAACCUCGCUCCGCAGUUGAAACUGGCGUUCUUGAGUGCGCGAGAGGUAUGCGGAAUGCGUGGUGUAGCGGUGAAAUGCAUAGAUAUUACGAAGAACUCCGAUUGCGAAGGCAGCAUACCGGAGCCCAACUGACGCUGAGGCUCGAAAGCGUGGGUAUCGAACAGGAUUAGAUACCCCAGUAGUC